GAUGAACGCUAGCGGCAGGCUUAAUACAUGCAAGUCGAGGGGCAGCACGGGUAGCAAUACCUGGUGGCGACCGGCAAACGGGUGCGGAACACGUACGCAACCUUCCCAUAACUGGUGAAUAGCCCUCCGAAAGGAGGAUUAAUACACCGUAACGUAAUGAAGAGGCAUCUCUUUAUUAUUAUAGGCUUCGGCCGGUUUUGGAUGGGCGUGCGCCUGAUUAGGUAGUUGGCGGGGUAACGGCCCACCAAGCCUGCGAUCAGUAACUGGUGUGAGAGCACGACCAGUCACACGGGCACUGAGACACGGGCCCGACUCCUACGGGAGGCAGCAGUAAGGAAUAUUGGUUAAUGGACGAAAGUCUGAACCAGCCAUGCCGCGUGAAGGAUUAAGGCCCUCUGGGUUGUAAACUUCUUUUAUCUGGGACGAAAAAAGGGUAUUCUUACUCACUUGACGGUACCAGAGGAAUAAGCACCGGCUAACUCCGUGCCAGCCGCCGCCGUAAAAC
rnacentral:rRNA from 1 species